UGGGGAAUAUUGCACAAUGGGCGCAAGCCUGAUGCAGCCAUGCCGCGUGUGUGAAGAAGGCCUUCGGUUGUAAAGCACUUUCAGCGAGGAGGAAGGUGGUGAGCUUAAUACGCUCAUCAAUUGACGUUACUCGCAGAAGAAGCACCGGCUAACUCCGUGCCAGCAGCCGCGGUAAUACGGAGGGUGCAAGCGUUAAUCGGAAUUACUGGGCGUAAAGCGCACGCAGGCGGUUUGUUAAGUCAGAUGUGAAAUCCCCGGGCUCAACCUGGGAACUGCAUUUGAAACUGGCAAGCUAGAGUCUCGUAGAGGGGGGUAGAAUUCCAGGUGUAGCGGUGAAAUGCGUAGAGAUCUGGAGGAAUACCGGUGGCGAAGGCGGCCCCCCUGGACGAAGACUGACGCUCAGGUGCGAAAGGCGUGGGGCAGCAAACAGGAUUAGAUACCCUGGUAGUCCACGCUGUAAACGAUGUCGAUUUUGGAGGUUGUGCCCCUUGAGGCGUGGCUUCCGGAGCUAACGCGUUAAA
rnacentral:rRNA from 1 species